rnacentral:rRNA from 1 species
GACGAACGCUGGCGGCGUGCUUAACACAUGCAAGUCGAACGGAAAGGCCCUGCUUUUGUGGGGCGCUCGAGUGGCGAACGGGUGAGUAACACGUGAGUAACCUGCCCUUGACUUUGGGAUAACUUCAGGAAACUGGGGCUAAUACCGGAUAGGAGCUCUUGCUGCAUGGUGGGGGUUGGAAAGUUUCGGCGGUGGGGGAUGGAUUCGCGGCUUAUCCGCUUGUUGGUCGGGUAGGGGCUUACCACGCCUUAGACGGGUAGCCGGCCUGGGAGGGGGACCGGGCACCUGGGGACUGCGAUACGCCCCAGUAGCGAAUGGGAGGCAGCGGGGGGGAGUAUUGCAGAGUGGGGGGACGUCAGAUAUAACGGCGCUGCGUGCGGGAUGCCGGCUUACGAGUUAAAAACAACUUUGGCAUGAAACAAGGACGGAGUGACGGUAAUGGAUAAGAAAGCCCCGGCUAACUACGUG